UACACGCUGUGACUAGCAUAUCAAUAAGCGGAGGAAAAGAAACUAACAAGGAUUCCCUUAGUAACGGCGAGUGAAGCGGGAAGAGCUCAAAUUUGAAAUCUUCAAGGUUUUACCUUGACGAAUUGUAGUUUAAAGAAGUGUUUUCUGCUGAAGUUUUGGUAAAAGUUCUUUGGAAUAGGACAUCAUAGAGGGUGAGAAUCCCGUAUUUGACCAUUAUUUUCAGCUUUGUGAUACACUUUCAAAGAGUCGGAUUGUUUGGGAAUGCAGUCCAAAAUGGGUGGUAAAUUUCAUCUAAAGCUAAAUAUUGGCGAGAGACCGAUAGCGAACAAGUACCGUGAGGGAAAGAUGAAAAGAACUUUGAAAAGAGAGUUAAACAGUACGUGAAAUUGCCAAAAGGGAAGCGUUUGACACCAGUGUUGUUUUCUCGAAAAUCAAUUAAAAUGGCUCGAUUUUGUAUUGUUGAGACCUUAAAAGCUCACUGUACAUUUUUCGUGUCUUUUUUAAUGCACUUUUCGUUUAACAAGUCAACAUCAGUUUCUUUUGUUGUAAAAGGGUCAUUGGAAGGUGGCUUUCUUUUCGGAGAAAGUGUUUAUAGCCUUUGGCCUCUGCAAUCGGAGAGACUGAGGUCUGCAGCGUAGACUCUUCGGGGUUAGAUACAUUUGUGCUAAGUUAUAGCUUUUUAUAGACAACUUGUUGACUAUAAUUAGUCUUGUAGCUUACUCGCUUAUGCUAUUUUACCUACGCUUAGGAUGUUGAUCUACAGAGCGAGAGU
rnacentral:rRNA from 1 species